rnacentral:rRNA from 1 species
AACGAACGCUGGCGGCAGGCCUAAUACAUGCAAGUCGAACGCCCCGCAAGGGGAGUGGCGCACGGGUGAGUAACGCGUGGGGAUGUGCCCUUGGGUACGGAACAACAUCGGGAAACUGGUGCUAAUACCGUAUAAUGACUCCGGUCCAAAGAUUUAUCGCCCAAGGAUCAACCCGCGUUGGAUUAGCUAGUUGGUGAGGUAAUGGCUCACCAAGGCGACGAUCCAUAGCUGGUCUUAGAGGAUGAUCAGCCACACUGGAACUGAGACACGGUCCAGACUCCUACGGGAGGCAGCAGUAAGGAAUAUUGGACAAUGGGGGAAACCCUGAUCCAGCCAUGCCGCGUGAAUGAAGAAGGCCUUAGGGUUGUAAAGUUCUUUUAGAUGUGAAGAUAAUGACGGUAGCAUCAGAAAAAGCUCCGGCUAACUCCGUGCCAGCCGCCGCGGUAA